UACGGGGGGGAGCAAGCGUUGUUCGGAAUUACUGGGCGUAAAGGGCUCGUAGGCGGCCAACUAAGUCAGACGUGAAAUCCCUCGGCUUAACCGGGGAACUGCGUCUGAUACUGGAUGGCUAGAGGUUGGGAGAGGGAUGCGGAAUUCCAGGUGUAGCGGUGAAAUGCGUAGAUAUCAGGAGGAACACCGGUGGCGAAGGCGGGUCUCUGGGCAACUACUGACGCUGAGGAGCGAAAGCGUGGGGAGCGAACAGG
rnacentral:rRNA from 1 species